rnacentral:tRNA from 1 species
GCGGGUGUAAUUCAAUGGUAGAAUUCCAGCCUUCCAAGCUGAUAGCGUGGGUUCGAUUCCCAUCACCCGCUCCA